rnacentral:tRNA from 1 species
GCCCCCAUAGCUCAGUGGAUUAGAGCAUCCGGUUUCUACCCGGCUGGUCGCGGGUUCGAGUCCUGCUGGGGGCA